rnacentral:miRNA from 1 species
GUCUCUGUAUGUAUGUGUUUGUAUGUGUGUGUCUGUCUGUGUGUAUGUGUCUGUACACACACAUACAGACACCUACAUACAGACACACACACAUACAAACACAUACA